rnacentral:ncRNA from 1 species
UAGGGUAUUAGAUUUUCUUAAUGCCCUGUUCCAUCCCAGCAGCUCGGCAACAGGACGUUGCCGAGAGCGAAACCUGAACCAUGGACGGCGAAUGUUGAGCGGUUGCGUCCCUAAGCCACACAUUCAUCAGGGCAUUUAGAAAAUCUUAUGCCCGAA